GACGAACGCUGGCGGCGUGCUUAACACAUGCAAGUCGAACGCUGAAGCUCAGCUUGCUGGGUGGAUGAGUGGCGAACGGGUGAGUAACACGUGAGUAACCUGCCCUCUUCUUUGGGAUAACGCCCGGAAACGGGUGCUAAUACUGGAUAUUCACUGAUUCUCGCAUGGGGGUUGGUGGAAAGGUUUUUUCUGGUGGGGAUGGGCUCGCGGCCUAUCAGCUUGUUGGUGGGGUGAUGGCCUACCAAGGCUUUGACGGGUAGCCGGCCUGAGAGGGUGACCGGUCACAUUGGGACUGAGAUACGGCCCAGACUCCUACGGGAGGCAGCAGUGGGGAAUAUUGCACAAUGGGCGAAAGCCUGAUGCAGCGACGCCGCGUGAGGGAUGGAGGCCUUCGGGUUGUAAACCUCUUUCGCUCAUGGUCAAGCCGCAGCUUUGGGUUGUGGUGAGGGUAGUGGGUAAAGAAGCGCCGGCUAACUACGUG
rnacentral:rRNA from 1 species